rnacentral:rRNA from 1 species
CCUUCGGUACACGAGCGGCGAACGGGUGAGUAACACCGUGAGUAACCUGCCCCCUGACUCUGGGAUAAGCGGUGGAAACGCCGUCUAAUWCCGGAUACGACCUUCCGCCUCAUGGUGGAGGGUGGAAAGUUUUUUCGGUCAGGGAUGGGCUCGCGGCCUAUCAGCUUGUUGGUGGGGUAACGGCCUACCAAGGCGAUUACGGGUAGCCGGCCUGAGAGGGCGACCGGCCACACUGGGACUGAGACACGGCCCAGACCUCCUGCGGGAGGCAGGCAGGUGGGGAAUAUUGCGCAACUGGGCGAAAGCCUGACGCAGCGACGCCGCGUGGGGGAUGACGGCCUUCGGGUUGUAAACCUCUUUUACCACCAACGCAGGCUCCGGGGUUUUCUCGGGGUUGACGGUAGGUGGGGAAUAAGGACCGGCUAACUACGUGCCAGCAGCCGCGGUAAUACGUAGGGUCCGAGSGUUGUCCGGAAUUAUUGGGCGUAAAGAGCUCGUAGGCGGCGUGUCGCGUCUGCUGUGAAAGACCGGGGCUUUAACUUCCGGUUCUGCAGUGGAUACGGGCAUGCUAGAGGUAGGUAGGGGAGACUGGWAUUCCUGGUGUAGCGGUGAAAUGCGCAGAUAUCAGGAGGAACACCGGUGGCGAAGGCGGGUCUCUGGGCCUUACCUGACGCUGAGGAGCGACAAGCAUGGGGAGCGAACAGGAUUAGAUACCCUGGUAGUCCAUGCCGUAAACGUUGGGCGCUAGGUGUGGGGACUUUCCACGGUUUCCGCGCCGUAGCUAACGCAUUAAGCGCCCCGCCUGGGAGUACGGCCGCAAGGCGAAAACUCAAAGGAAUUGACGGGGGCCCGCACAAGCGGCGGAGCAUGUUGCUUAAUUCGACGCAACGCGAAGAACCUUACCAAGGUUUGACAUCACCCGGGACCUGUAGAGAACAGGGUCAUUUAGUUGGUGGGUGACAGGUGGUGCAUGGCUGUCGUCAGCUCGUGUCGUGAGAUUUGGGUUAAGUCCCGCAACGAGCGCAACCCUUGUUCCAUGUUCCAGCACGUAAUGGUGGGGACUCAUGGGAGACUGCCGGGGUCAACUCGGAGGAAGGUGGGGACGACGUCAAGUCAUCAUGCCCCUUAUGUCUUGGGCUGCAAACAUGCUACAAUGGCCGGUACAAUGGGCGUGCGAUACCGUAAGUGGAGCGAAUCCCUUAAAGCCGGUCUCAGUUCGGAUUGGGGUCUGCAACUCGACCCCAUGAAGGUGGAGUCG